GCCUUGUUCAUGCUCAGUCUGUAGAGCAUGAGACUCUUAAUUUCAGGGUCAUGGAUUCAAGCCCUACAUUGGGCA